CGUUUGCAGGUUUCCUCAAAUAACUUAUCUCAUUCAAAAUUCAAAUUCAUUAUCAUCAAACGAAAUCUGCAAAACAAAUUCCAAAACGCAGAGGAAAAGAGAGAGAAGAGACGACCUCUAUUUCAUCUUUUCAAAAACCCUAAACCCAAUCUAAAAAGGAAGACCACGCUAGCUUGAUGGGAGUUUGUUUGUGGGGUUUGUUGUAUUUGUUUUUGCUAGAUUGAGGAUCUUGAAUCGUCGACUAUGAUCGUGGAUUCUGAUUCACAAAAGGGGACUCAACCAAGGUAACGCAUUGAUUCCAUUUUGGGUAGUGGAAACUUGAGAGAAGCUGUGAGGCUUAUUCCAAUUCUCUGCAUUCGACAACAUAUUUCAUACACAGGUUUAUUUUUAAAAUUUCAAAUAAAAUCCAGGUUGUAACUGUCUUAUUCAGCUAUAUUUAGCAUCACAACCACAUAAAACUGAACUUUAAUAGGUGGUGGUUUGAGUUUUGAUCAUAGUUAUCAAAGGCGUGAAUCUAACACGAAAUUUGCGGGUUUUAGUUUAGUCUAAACGGGUUCGGGUCAGUUUCCGGCUGAACACGUUUAGCUAAACGGGUCAGGUUCAGGUCAACCCUUUGGGUUGGCGGGUUGACCAGUUUAACCAAUUUAUAUUAUAUUAUUCUUUUAUACAAUAUGUAUUAUGUUAUAAAUUAAAUUAAAUUGG
rnacentral:lncRNA from 1 species